CCAUUUGUUUCGAGCUAUGGUCGAGUUGUGUUGAUUUUCCCUUUUCUUUCCCGCUUCUUUAAUCAUCCCCUAGUCGCGAUCAACCGUGUUUUCUAUCCUUAGAAAAUGCGGGCGUGACAGAAACCCUAGACCCUUCUCUCCUUCCUCCUUCUCGGCGAAGACACCGACAUCACGACAAUUAACCGGCCCGCGAUCUGUCGCUGGCGUCACCUUUGCGCCGUCAUCGGAAUCAGAGGAGGAGGCGUCGCCUCCGUGUCUCUCCCUCGGCGACUGUUCCGUCGUCUUCCCAAGGUGAGCGACGAGGCUCCGGAAAACUCACUCACGGUUAGUGCCUUACGGAGACCUCUCCCUUCCGCCGUCGUUGCUGUCACGCGGUGGAUUUUCUCGGCAGAAGUUCUCGGCUCAUCCGACCGCCGCUGGUUCGUGGGCAGUCAGGCUGGGACGGCGUGGUCAGCUGUCGCUGCUGCGCGUCGGAAAUCGCAUGCGGUCUCGGCUCUGAACCGCACCUGAUGCUCCGCCAUCGGGUCGCCGUUGGUUCACCGUUGGCGCCGCCAUUCUCUGACGGAAAAUCCCUAAAGCUAAGUCUUCUACCUUAGUUUAUAUCUGAUUAAGUUUCUCGGCAAUAGUUACUUAAAUUUUGAGAGUCAAGUCUGUGAUAACUGUGAUUGGAGCAUUCUUCUUUGGACUUGCUGAUAGAUUGGAUUUCUAAUUGGAGGAACUGAUUUGAGUAGAAAAUCCCAGAACAUAGUUAUGCCUUCUAUGCGCAUGACGUCAUUUUUUUUGUGUUCUGGCCUGGUUCUAAAGGUGUAUGGGCUAUAUUUGAGGCAUUCAUCACUACUAUUACGUUGUGUUUCCCUGGUGUGAGGUGUUAUGUAUGAUGCUAUGAGCUAUAUUUGAGUUUGAGGAAGAAAAAGGGUAUGGAAGUUACCUUCUUCCACUGCUCCGAUUCCCCUCCUCUGGCUUCGGUGUCGGCCUCUCUCCCCCUUUCGGUUCUGCUUAGAAAUGCAGCUGAUAUGUGGUGUGAAGGGGCGGCUAAGGGUUGAUCCCAUAUUUAUCCAGGAUUUGUAACUGAAAGCCUGUUAAGGCUGAUGUACUUGGCUGAAAAAGGGGUCUUUGGUUGGUUAUGUGUUGGCUGCCUUCUCUGCAGCUUUGCAGAGUGAAAACUCUGAAUUUGUGGCUUCUUUCCCAACCGUUUCUGGGGUUUCAUGGUAGUGGCUACACUCUGCAGGAAUUCGCAGGGUGUACUCGUGAGAUGUUUGAGCCUAAGGCUCCUUGCCGUGUUCUGAUCUCCUAACUGAAAGUUGUGGCUAUUUCUUGUGUUUCUUGCUGCACACUUUAACUGCAUUUGUGUACCCCUCUCGCAUGUACUAGCUGGAGUGCAGGUGGCUGCUGGGACAAGAGGCUGACUCUUCCCGGCUGCUGUCUCGUCGACUUGGCCCAACGGGCCGUCGGAAAUCUGGGCUAAAACAAGCUAAGGAGAAGGCCCAAAACUAGUUUUCUCUAUUCUUCCUAUUUUGUAAUAGUGUAGACCGUCUUUAAAUUUCCUAUCUUGUUCCAAACAUGUAUGUAGAACUCAAUAAUAGUUGGUAUGGAAUGUCUUUCAACAUUUGUAAUUUAUUAGCUUUGAAAUUCUGAAAUUGUAUUUAUAUUCUUA